rnacentral:misc_RNA from 1 species
CCGUUCUCUGCUGGCGCAUUGCUGCGCCCUCAGACGCUCGGAGUCAUCAGGGCUGAUCGACGCACCACCUCCACUUAGUUGCUUCAUGGUGCGUUGCGCCGCAGAAAGUCGGCACAGCAACGUUGGACGCGCCUCUCUCACACUCUCUUCCCCGUAUCGCUGUUCUUCUUAACAUUCAGAAGCCGAGAGACAGAUGUCGAUAGGGUAUGUCUUCACUUGUGGCUCCACGGAUGGUGCGCCCGUGUGAUCUUCGCGCGCACCCGAUUCAGCCGUCUUCUUUCUUUGUGCAUAUACUAUCGUGAAGGCGUGCCUCGGAGAGUGAGUGCAGAUCGAGAACUCUCGCUCUCUGUCCAACUCACCUCCUCCUCUCCGUCCCUCUGCCAGCAAGCCCCGUGCGCACCCCGUCCGUGCCUGACCUCUUUCGGUUGGUUUGGUCUCUGUAUGUACCGCCGUGCGCUUUUCUCGGGGCAUGAUGGUGCGGCCAAGACCGGGGCAGAGAGGGGGCGGAUCUUUCGUUUUCCGUUUGGCGUCCAUUGUGUGGAGGGGAUCACGUUUCUGCCCAUGUGUCGGUGUUACUUACCCCGCCCGCCUCUUUUUCUAUAUCUUUGGCUGUAUGGGGGGAAGGGUGCCUCUCUCCCCUGCCCGGUUCUGCCAGUGACAUCAUGGGCGGCCCCAUACUCUCGCUUGGACAAACAAGCACCGGCACACGCACACAUACGUUUGCGUGUCUGUGUGUGUGUAUGGCUGAUCAAGAAAAGGACGGGCUCCACUAGUGCGAGUAUGACGCUGGUGUAACUCUCUGUCUGUCAGUCUCUCGCCCCCUCUUCCAUCCAUCUCUCUCUCUCACACACCUGCGCACACACACACACACACACACCUCACACUGGCGACGCAAAG